AACGUAGGAGGCAAGCGUUAUCCGGAUUUAUUGGGCGUAAAGGGCGUCUAGGCGGUGACUCAAGUUGGGCGUGAAAUCUCCCGGCUCAACCGGGAGGGGCCGUUCAAUACUGGGACACUUGAGGGCAGGAGAGGAAAGCGGAAUUCCCGGUGUAGUGGUGGAAUACUUAGAUAUCGGGAGGAACACCAGUGGCGAAGGCGGCUUUCUGGCCUGUACCUGACGCUAAAGCGCGAAAGCGUGGGUAGCAAACGGGAUUAGAUACCCUAGUA
rnacentral:rRNA from 1 species